UUCCUUAAUACUCACUGCAUACUCAACCACAGAUAUCAGCGGAGGUUCAUGCCAAGCUACCAGCUGAACCAAGUCAGAUCAGCUGUGCUUUUUUUACAAUUAUAAAGACAUGAAUCAGCAGGUGGCACAAAACAUGAUUGCCUUGAAGAGUGAGAGGUUCUUUGGGCACCUGCAAUCUGCACUAACAGGUCACUUGAGGAGAGCUGACAAGAUCUGCAGAAGUUUGUCAGAUGUCUUACAGAAGUCUGCCCAGAUGAGCAGGUCCAGGAGAACAGCUGGUUGUGAUGGACCCUUUGCUACCCCAGGCACCACUACAGCAACGCCAAGAAGCGCUGCCAAGAGUGCAGAAAUCAGGCUACCUUCAGUACUAAUUUCCUUCCCUCCUUUCCAACUCAUUUUGAUCUGAGCUUAAUAUCCCAGACGUACCUGCUGUCCCUUGAAAUGUCCAAUCUCCUGGACCUGAUUUUGGCUCUUGGUUUCCCUAUUCCUCUGCAACAAUGAAUUCUUUAAUCUGACGCAUCUCUUCUCAAUGAAUUAUUAAGCCUCCCAUUUGAAUUUGAUCAGGAAUUCCCUUUGAUCUUUUGCUUUGAGACACAGUUGUCUCUGGGCAUCUUUUUCUCAUCAAAGUGCCUUUUCUCAGCCCUAGCCACAAAUUGCGUGAUGCUUUUACUCCAUGAGUUAGUGCUCAGUCAACCCAUAGGUGACCCAAGUGACUGAUUUCAGGUGACAGUUUCAGACUAACCAUAAACAGAGAAAAAAUUGAGUUCCAUGAAAGGCACAAGAAAUGGGACAAGGGAGAUUAUCAAAGGAAACAAUAUAACUUAUUGCUUGAUCCCCAGUGGGGCAACAUUCUCCCUUACUGUCUACAUGACUAGGCUGAAGAAGCACUUUUGCAAAAAGCAAUAUGAACAAAUGGAAAAUGCUGUAACAAGGCUAAGCAACAACACCUGGUGGGAUACAACAUGAAAAGGAAGACAUAUUCUGAGUUAUCUGUUGGGGUUUUUUUUCCCCAAGGACAUUCCAAAGUCAUCUUAGAUAUCAAAAUUCAAGCUCUGCACUCCCUUUGUAGCCAAAGAGGAAAAAUAGAUGUUUUCAGCCAUGAUUGGCUCUAUUUUAAAUGCCUACUUUUAUGUGGACUUAAGUAGUGCCUGAUGUAUGUCAAUAGCAUUCACUAGAUCUCCAUUAUUUGUAACGAUACAGAAAGAUUCCUGCCCUGUGGCUAUCUAAAGGAAUUCUAUGCUGAAUGUUUCUCAUAUUCUUUUCAUCGUCUGUCUUUUUCCUACACAGAAAUGUCAAUAACAAUAUUAGCAUUGGCACAUCCUUUCACAUUUAGCAUCAAGACUGAGCACUUGGAGACGGUAACUUUAGAAAUUGAUUCCCAAGAGAAAGCUCAGUCCAAAUGGUGCCAAAUGGUGAUGACACUCCUAGGAGCUGUAAGGCCAGAGCAUAGUGAACCGUUGGUUUGGGUAUAGGUAAAAGGCUUUUUAACACACAAAACUUGUUGCAAAGACUCCCGGGUCCUCUUUUCUCUUGUGGGGCUGAUGUGUGGCUGUUAGGAAAAAGGCAAAGACUGCUGGAGAGCAAUUAGUUCUGCAACCAAAGAAACAGGCACCAUGAGGAAUAUUGCUGUUUUUGGUUUUUGUAAUCCUUCAGGCUUUUCUUAUAAAAAAUAAAUAUGACUAUAUAAUUGUAUUGGACUAAUCUAUUUACACUGAAUAGUUUGUAUCUAAUCUAUGCUUACUUUUUUAUCUAUGAGAAGUGAGAGUGAAAAGAUUGUUUUUAAGUUUUUUCAGAACAAAAAAAAUAUAGGGAAUCUUUCCUUUCUAUCAAAAAAAGGCAUCUUGAUAAACAUUCCCUUUUCACUAAGAAGCUGUUUUCCAUUGGGGAUAAAAAGUGCUGAGGGAAAAAUUCUAAUUGCUGCUACAACGCAUCUUGGCACCUCAGCAGAGGGCCUGCAGUUGUAAUUAAUGGUUAGGACAGAAAUGUGCUGCACAAUUCUCUGGUGUGAAAUGCUCAUAAAUCAUUAUUCCAACACCUGUAGGAUCCUAGUCUUUUCUUCACUUAAUUCUGUGCUGCACUGGGGCUUGGCAGUCUGUCGAGAUCUACAAACCCUUUCCUCAUUGUGACCAAAGAUAGGCUUUUGA